rnacentral:pre_miRNA from 1 species
AAAGUACUCCCUCCGUCCCAAAAUUCUUGUCUUAGAUUUGUCUAGAUACGGAUGUAUCAAGUCACAUUUUAGUAUUAGAUACAUCCGUAUCUAGACAAAUCUAAGACAAGAAAUUUGGGACAGAGUGAGUAGUUG